UACGGAGGAUCCGAGCGUUAUCCGGAUUUAUUGGGUUUAAAGGGUGCGCAGGCGGAAGAUUAAGUCGGUGGUGAAAUUUUGCAGCUCAACUGUAAAAGUGCCAUUGAUACUGGUUUUCUUGAGUGUGGAUGAAGUAGGCGGAAUUUGUGGUGUAGCGGUGAAAUGCAUAGAGAUGACGCGGAACUCCGAUUGCGCAGGCAGCUUACGAAACCAUAACUGACGCUCAGGCACGAAGGCGUGGGGAUCAAACAGG
rnacentral:rRNA from 1 species